CCCCUCUCUAUCAGAAAUGGUCACAUACUGCGAUCGGUCUGAUACAUAUGAUCAAACCCAGGUUAGUGGACCAUCACCAAUACCUGAGUUUUUAAGUUUUUGUAAACGGAGCCCAUUUUCCAUUCUUACACCAGAAUGGGCAGGCAUACUUUCCUGCACUCAUUACAGUAAUCAAAUAUAUUCCUACCUGUUUGGUUUAUUCUAGAAGUAUGUUAUGCACCCUGUCUUUAAUUUGGGGCCAACAAGGUUAUUUUUAAAUGCUGCUCUUCCUCGAAUAACUGUUAAUAUUUUUAGAUCAGUUUUCAUACUCCAUGACAGUCGAAAACUCGUAUACUCUUUAUUAAAAAC